rnacentral:rRNA from 1 species
UACGUAGGGGGCAAGCGUUGUUCGGAAUCAUUGGGCGUAAAGAGCGUGUAGGCGGUUACUUAAGUCGGGUGUGAAAUCCCUCGGCUCAACCGAGGAAGUGCACUCGAAACUGAGUGGCUAGAGAAUGGUAGAGGGCGGUGGAAUUCCGUGUGUAGAGGUGAAAUUCGUAGAUAUACGGAGGAAUACCGGUGGCGAAGGCGGCCGCCUGGACCAUUUCUGACGCUGAGACGCGAAAGCGUGGGGAGCAAACAGG